rnacentral:rRNA from 1 species
UACGUAGGGUCCAAGCGUUAUCCGGAAUCACUGGGCGUAAAGCGUGCGUAGGUGGAUGUUUAAGUGUAUUGCGAAAUCCUGUGGCUCAACCAUAUGGACUGUAAUGCAUACUGGAUAUCUAGAGGACGGCAGAGGCAAGUGGAAUUUGUAGUGUAGCAGUGAAAUGCGUAGAUAUUACAAGGAACACCAAUGGCGAAGGCAGCUUGCUGGGCCGACCCUGACACUGAGGUACGAAAGCGUGGGGAGCAAACAGG